rnacentral:rRNA from 1 species
UACGAAGGGGGCUAGCGUUGCUCGGAUUGACUGGGCGUAAAGGGCGCGUAGGCGGCCUUGCGUGUCUUCCGUGAAAUCCCUCGGCUUAACUGAGGACGUGCGGAAGAAACUGCGAGGCUCGAGUCCGGGAGAGGAGGGUGGAAUUCCCAGUGUAGCGGUGAAAUGCGUAGAUAUUGGGAGGAACACCGGUGGCGAAGGCGGCCCUCUGGACCGGUACUGACGCUGAUGCGCGAAAGCGUGGGGAGCAAACGGG